GCAUAUCAAUAAGCGGAGGAAAAGAAACCAACAGGGAUUGCCUCAGUAACGGCGAGUGAAGCGGCAACAGCUCAAAUUUGAAAUCUGGUCCUUUCAGGGCCCGAGUUGUAAUUUGUAGAAGAUGCUUCGGGCGUGGCUCCGGUCUAAGUUCCCUGGAACGGGACGUCAUAGAGGGUGAGAAUCCCGUAUGUGACUGGCUGCCUCCGCCCAUGUGAAGCUCUUUCGACGAGUCGAGUUGUUUGGGAAUGCAGCUCAAAAUGGGUGGUAAAUUUCAUCUAAAGCUAAAUAUUGGCCAGAGACCGAUAGCGCACAAGUAGAGUGAUCGAAAGAUGAAAAGCACUUUGGAAAGAGAGUUAAACAGUACGUGAAAUUGUUGAAAGGGAAGCGCUUGCAAUCAGACUUGCGCGCGGUCGAUCAUCCGGGGUUCUCCCCGGUGCACUCGGCCGCGCUCAGGCCAGCAUCGGUUUCGGUGGUGGGAUAAAGGCCUUGGGAAUGUGGCUCCUCUCGGGGAGUGUUAUAGCCCUCGGUGCAAUGCCGCCUACCGGGACCGAGGACCGCGCUUCGGCUAGGAUGCUGGCGUAAUGGUUGCAAGCGACCCGUCUUGAAACACGGACCAAGGAGUUGAAGACUGCCGCGAGUGUUUGGGUGUCAAAACCCAUACGCGUAAUGAAAGUGAACCGGAGGUGAGAACCCUUAAAGGGUGCAUCAUCGACCCGAUCCUGAAGUCUUCGGAUGGAUUUGAGUAAGAGCGGUAUUCUUCUGACCCGAAAGAUGGUGAACUAUGCCUGAAUAGGGUGAAGCCAGAGGAAACUCUGGUGGAGGCUCGCAGCGGUUCUGACGUGCAAAUCGAUCGUCAAAUUUGGGUAUAGGGGCGAAAGACUAAUCG
rnacentral:rRNA from 1 species